rnacentral:lncRNA from 1 species
AGAAAUCUAAUAACUAAAGCAGAAAAUUUGAACAACCUAAGGUUUAGAGAAAGUAAUGUAAAGGUAAUGUAUAACAAAAAGUGUGGUAAUUAAGAAUAUUAGUAUUAACAUAUACAUGGUGAUUAGUUUUUUGUUGCAUCAUUCAUAUCACAAGAUACUUAAAUAUAAGUAUUAACUGAAGAAAAAUCCUUCAGUAUUUCAAGUUCUUAAUCACCAUGAACUGAAAAAAGUUAUUGAAAAGUGACUGGUAGUUGUUUUCAUGAAGUAUGCCAAGGGAGAUAACUCUAAUCACAUUGAGAGGAGGUCCAUUUUAAAGCAUUUAAAACUAGUUAAGAUUGUUUUUAAUUAUAUUUAUUUCGGUAUUUAAGAUAUGUAUUUAAAUGAGCUAAUUUAUGUGUAUGCCUUCUCUUAAUCUUGUUUCUUGGUAUAUAAUUUUGAUAAACAUUUUUUUCAGCAUUUCUUUAAAAUGAUAACAUAACUUAAAGAAAUCAAAAACUUUUCCAAUAUAACAUUAGCCAUAGUCGUGCUUACAUCAAUUACAGAUAACUUUUCAUUUUUCCAAAAACUGGUUAUGAUGUUGGAUGCCAUUUCUUUUAACAAUAAGUUGUAACCGCAUGAAUCCCUAUAAGCACACUAAACUUCUAAGUGUAUUCUAAGUCAUACACCAUAUAUAUUACAAAUUUGUGAAGAAAAUUUUGAUUAAAAAUAAUUUUACUCAUCUGUACUCUGUAGAUCCUAUGUACUGCACCUGGACUGAAGACAAACACUGCACCUGGACUGAAGACAAACACUGCACCUGGACUGAAGACAAACACUGCACCUAGACUAAAGACUUUAGACAUAAUAUCCAAGUUAAAUGGGACUAGUGACCACUGGAACUAGCUCCUUCAAAAAACAUAGUCAUUAUUGACCUCUAUAUUGAUGUGUUAUGAUGAAAUCAUGUUUUUGAUAGUUGCAUUGAUAAAUGUUCAUGCAUUAAAACAUUGGAUUGACUUUGACCCAAGACUUAUUAUAGUUUCUCCAGAGUAUAAAUGAGUUUGUCAAUUUUAAGUGUUUAGAAAAUUUAAUUUUAAUAUUUACCAAUUUGUGAAAUUUGAUAGCAAGGCUAAUGGCUGGUGCACCAAAAUAGAUUUUCAUAAUUGGCUGUAUUUUCACUGAUAAAAAAUUCUGAAAAAUUGUAACAGCAAAUAGCUUCUCUUUAAAGCUGAUAUAAAUUAAGAGCUUUUGUUAAAUUUCUUUAAUUUAUGUUGCCCUCCUUGACGGAAGAAGACACAUUCAUGGCAGAUAGCAAAGUCAUAAUGUACGUAUUUCCUUAAAACUAUGUUCAUGUUUGUAAACAAAAUGGAUCAUUUUUGUCGAGCCUGCAACUUUUGUAGCAGAAAAUUUGACAGGGAUAUUGAUCUGGUGGCGGUGUUAGCUUUAUAUAUUAGAAGGUGGAAGACCUGUAUGCUUCAUACUUUGUAUAUAGAUGCCUCAUGUUGCGAAGUUUCCAUUGGUCACAUUGUCUUAUGUCCUUGACCUCAUUUUCAUGGUUCAGCGACUACCUUAAAAAAAAGAUUUUUUAUGCCCCACCUACGAUAGUAGAGGGGCAUUAUGUUUUCUGGUCUGUGGCUCCGUUCGUCCGUCCGUCCAUCCGUCUGUGCUUCCGUUCGUCCGUCCGUUCAGGUUAAAGUUUUUGGUCAAGGUAGUUUUUGAUGAAGCUGAAGUCCAAUCAACUUGAAACUUAGUAAACUUGUUGCUUAUGAUAUGAUCUUUUUAAUUUUAAAGCCAAAUUAGACUUUUGACCCCAAUUUCACGGUCCACUAAACAUAGAAAAUGAAAGUGGGAGUUUCAGGUUAAAGUUUUUGGUCAAGGUAGUUUUUGAUAAAAUUGAAGUCCAAUCAACUUGAAACUUAGUACAUAUGUUCCCUAUAGUAUAAUCUUUCUAAUUUUAAUGCCAAAUUAGAUUAUUACCCAGUUUCACGGUCCAUGGAACAUGGUAAAGGAUAGUGCGAGUGGGGCAUCCGUGUACUUUGGACACAUUCUUGUUUAAUGAUAAAAACUUGUACCAUAAAGAAAAUUUCAGAGAUUUAAAAGUAAGUUUUGUUUUUUCAGUUGAAUCAAUUUCUUCUAUUGUCUUAAUUACAAAUAUGGAGAAUUGGUUAAAAUGCUUAUGAUACAGCUAUUAUGACCGCUCCUUUUUAAAUGACUGCCAAAAUUUAAAAAAAAUUGGUUGUAUAUUGAUAUCACUUCGUUGUCAGCGUUGUCCAAAGACAGAUGGUUUCUGCAUAAUAACUUAUGAAUAAGUAAAUAGAAAUCAAUAGAAUUUUAACAUAAGGUUUAUAACCAGUACAGGAAUUGAUUUUGGGAGUUUUUGUCUCAAUAGUUUAGAAACAAGGGGCCCAAAAGGGGUCAAAAUAGGUAUUUUUCUAGUUUCGAGACAAUAAUUUGUGUAAGUGUAUGGAUCUUUUUGAAAUUGUGCCACAAGGUUCUAUUUUAGAAAGGAAGGUUUGAAUUGAUUUAGGUGGUUAUGGCCCAAACUGCUUAGAAUUGGGGCCAAAAAGGGGUGAAAACAAUACUUUUCUAAUACUUUGUAUAAAUUGCAGGUAACACACCAGGAUGAGUCGCAUAGUUAGUAUUUGGUCAUUAGAAUUAGGUCUUUCCACUUUUCGUGGAAAGACCUUUUGUUUUUCUUCUGAUUAUUUUUUUUCUUCUGCCGUCUGAGAUGCUUUUUUGUCUUACAACAUAUCGAACACUUAUUCUUAUAGGAGUUAUCUCCCCGCGUUCCCUUUUUCUUGUUAUCGCUAUAUCUCUAAAACCGUAAAAGAUUUUAGCAAACUGUUUUCACCAAAUUGUUCGUCUACUCUUGAGAAUAAUUUGGUUUAUUUUGACUUGAGUGAUGGGAAGACAUCUUUGAAAAUUUAAUAUAGGCUAUUUGUUGGAUAAAUUCAUACGUCUACAGUCUUUUGAUAUGAAGUCCUUGGUCCAUUUGAAGAAAAUCGAAGUCAAGGUCAAAGGUCAAGGUCAUGUUUUAAAUUUAAAAUUUUGCUUGUUAUCAUUAUUCCACAAACUGUGACAGUAAAUGAUAUAUGUUUGCCAAAUAACUGUUUACAAUAAGGCGCAACUUCAACCUAUUUCAGUCAAAGUGUUUUGGUUAACCCUUAUAGGAGUUUUCUCCCCUUAUGUAUUUCAAAUCAGUAUUUCUCCACAACCAUACAAGUGAUUGAAGUUCACUGACCUAUGACCCAAAUUAUUGCUUUUAUGUUCCCCAUUUUAAAGCUGAUACUAAUUUAUAAUUUCCUUUUGUUACAGAUACCCAUAUAUGUUCCACUCCAACGAGAGGGAUUUCAUGGAAGAUAACGCACCAGGAUGAGUCACAUGUUAGUAUUUGCUCAUUAAAAUUGUACUUGAAACUAUGUUUUACUGUAACAAUAGCUUAGAAUUUUAUGACAAAUUUGGUCUUAAAUCAAUUUCUUUUAUUAAAAUUUCGAUUCGAAUGCGGCAUUUUUUAAUUAGAAUUGAUAGUAAUUGUAAAUUAAGUGUCGCUGAUUUAAAAUUUGACAUAAAACACAUCACAUUAAUUUCAAUAGCCAAAAAAUAUUCCCCAUUUUAAAGCUGAUACUAAUUUAUAAUUUCCUUUUGUUACAGAUACCCAUAUAUGUUCCACUCCAACGAGAGGGAUUUCAUGGAAGAUAACGCACCAGGAUGAGUCACAUGUUAGUAUUUGCUCAUUAAAAUUGUACUUGAAACUAUGUUUUACUGUAACAAUAGCUUAGAAUUUUAUGACAAAUUUGGUCUUAAAUCAAUUUCUUUUAUUAAAAUUUCGAUUCGAAUGCGGCAUUUUUUAAUUAGAAUUGAUAGUAAUUGUAAAUUAAGUGUCGCUGAUUUAAAAUUUGACAUAAAACACAUCACAUUAAUUUCAAUAGCCAAAAAAUAUUCCCCAUUUUAAAGCUGAUACUAAUUUAUAAUUUCCUUUUGUUACAGAUACCCAUAUAUGUUCCACUCCAACGAGAGGGAUUUCAUGGAAGAUAACGCACCAGGAUGAGUCACAUGUUAGUAUUUGCUCAUUAAAAUUGUACUUGAAACUAUGUUUUACUGUAACAAUAGCUUAGAAUUUUAUGACAAAUUUGGUCUUAAAUCAAUUUCUUUUAUUAAAAUUUCGAUUCGAAUGCGGCAUUUUUUAAUUAGAAUUUAUAGUAAUGGUAAAUUAAUUGUCCCUAAUUUAAGAUUUGACUUAAAACACAUCACAUUAAUUUCAAUUGCCAAAAAAUAUUCCCCAUUUUAAAGCUGAUACUUAUUUAUAAUUUCCUUUUACAGAUACCCAUAUAUGUUCCACUCCAACGAGAGGGAUUUCAUGGAAGAUAACACACCAGGAUGAGUCACAUGUUAGUAUUUGCUCAUUAAAAUUGUACUUGAAACUAUGUUUUACUGUAACAAUAGCUUAGAAUUUUAUGACAAAUUUGGUCUUAAAUCAAUUUCUUUUAUUAAAAUUUCGAUUCGAAUGCGGCAUUUUUUAAUUAGAAUUGAUAGUAAUUGUAAAUUAAGUGUCGCUGAUUUAAAAUUUGACAUAAAACACAUCACAUUAAUUUCAAUAGCCAAAAAAAUAUUCCCCAUUUUAAAGCUGAUACUAAUUUAUAAUUUCCUUUUGUUACAGAUACCCAUAUAUGUUCCACUCCAACGAGAGGGAUUUCAUGGAAGAUAACGCACCAGGAUGAGUCACAUGUUAGUAUUUGCUCAUUAAAAUUGUACUUGAAACUAUGUUUUACUGUAACAAUAGCUUAGAAUUUUAUGACAAAUUUGGUCUUAAAUCAAUUUCUUUUAUUAAAAUUUCGAUUCGAAUGCGGCAUUUUUUAAUUAGAAUUGAUAGUAAUUGUAAAUUAAGUGUCGCUGAUUUAAAAUUUGACAUAAAACACAUCACAUUAAUUUCAAUAGCCAACACAUCACAUUAAUUUCAAUUGCCAAAAAAUAUUCCCCAUUUUAAAGCUGAUACUUAUUUAUAAUUUCCUUUUACAGAUACCCAUAUAUGUUCCACUCCAACGAGAGGGAUUUCAUGGAAGAUAACACACCAGGAUGAGUCACAUGUUAGUAUUUGCUCAUUAAAAUUGUACUUGAAACUAUGUUUUACUGUAACAAUAGCUUAGAAUUUUAUGACAAAUUUGGUCUUAAAUCAAUUUCUUUUAUUAAAAUUUCGAUUCGAAUGCGGCAUUUUUUAAUUAGAAUUGAUAGUAAUUGUAAAUUAAGUGUCGCUGAUUUAAAAUUUGACAUAAAACACAUCACAUUAAUUUCAAUAGCCAAAAAAUAUUCCCCAUUUUAAAGCUGAUACUAAUUUAUAAUUUCCUUUUGUUACAGAUACCCAUAUAUGUUCCACUCCAACGAGAGGGAUUUCAUGGAAGAUAACGCACCAGGAUGAGUCACAUGUUAGUAUUUGCUCAUUAAAAUUGUACUUGAAACUAUGUUUUACUGUAACAAUAGCUUAGAAUUUUUUUGACAAAUUUGGUCUUAAAUCAAUUUCUUUUCUUAAAAUUUCGAUUCGAAUGCGGCAUUUUUUAAUUAGAAUUUAUAGUAAUGGUAAAUUAAUUGUCCCUAAUUUAAGAUUUGACUUAAAACACAUCACAUUAAUUUCAAUUGCCAAAAAAUAUUCCCCAUUUUAAAGCUGAUACUUAUUUAUAAUUUCCUUUUACAGAUACCCAUAUAUGUUCCACUCCAACGAGAGGGAUUUCAUGGAAGAUAACACACCAGGAUGAGUCACAUGUUAGUAUUUGCUCAUUAAAAUUGUACUUGAAACUAUGUUUUACUGUAACAAUAGCUUAGAAUUUUAUGACAAAUUUGGUCUUAAAUCAAUUUCUUUUAUUAAAAUUUCGAUUCGAAUGCGGCAUUUUUUUAAUUAGAAUUGAUAGUAAUUGUAAAUUAAGUGUCGCUGAUUUAAAAUUUGACAUAAAACACAUCACAUUAAUUUCAAUAGCCAAAAAAUAUUCCCCAUUUUAAAGCUGAUACUAAUUUAUAAUUUCCUUUUGUUACAGAUACCCAUAUAUGUUCCACUCCAACGAGAGGGAUUUCAUGGAAGAUAACGCACCAGGAUGAGUCACAUGUUAGUAUUUGCUCAUUAAAAUUGUACUUGAAACUAUGUUUUACUGUAACAAUAGCUUAGAAUUUUAUGACAAAUUUGGUCUUAAAUCAAUUUCUUUUAUUAAAAUUUCGAUUCGAAUGCGGCAUUUUUUAAUUAGAAUUUAUAGUAAUGGUAAAUUAAUUGUCCCUAAUUUAAGAUUUGACUUAAAACACAUCACAUUAAUUUCAAUUGCCAAAAAAUAUUCCCCAUUUUAAAGCUGAUACUUAUUUAUAAUUUCCUUUUACAGAUACCCAUAUAUGUUCCACUCCAACGAGAGGGAUUUCAUGGAAGAUAACACACCAGGAUGAGUCACAUGUUAGUAUUUGCUCAUUAAAAUUGUACUUGAAACUAUGUUUUACUGUAACAAUAGCUUAGAAUUUUAUGACAAAUUUGGUCUUAAAUCAAUUUCUUUUAUUAAAAUUUCGAUUCGAAUGCGGCAUUUUUUAAUUAGAAUUUAUAGUAAUGGUAAAUUAAUUGUCCCUAAUUUAAGAUUUGACAUAAAACACAUCACAUUAAUUUCAAUAGCCAAAAAAUAUUCCCCAUUUUAAAGCUGAUACUAAUUUAUAAUUUCCUUUUGUUACAGAUACCCAUAUAUGUUCCACUC